GGUGGUUAAGAAAGUUGGUGGUGAAAUCCCAAGGCUUAACCUUGGAACUGCCACCAAAACUUUUUAACUAGAGUAUGAUUGAGGUAAGCGGAAUUUCUAGUGUAGAGGUGAAAUUCGUAGAUAUUAGAAAGAACACCAAUUGCGAAGGCAGCUUUCUGGAUCAUUACUGACACUGAGGUGCGAAAGCAUGGGUAGCGAAGAGGAUUAGAUACCCUCGUAGUCCAUGCCGUAAACGAUGUGUGCUGGACGUUGGGAAUUUAUUUUUCAGUGUCGCAGCAAAAGCGUUAAGCACACCGCCUGGGGAGUACGACCGCAAGGUUAAAACUCAAAUGAAUUGACGGGGACCCGCACAAGUAGUGGAGCAUGUGGUUUAAUUCGAAGAUACGCGCAGAACCUUACCAACACUUGACAUGUUCGUCGCGACUCUAAGAGAUUAGAGUUUUCGGUUCGGCCGGACGAAACACAGGUGCUGCAUGGCUGUCGUCAGCUCGUGUCGUGAGAUGUUGGGUUAAGUCCCGCAACGAGCGCAACCCUUACUUUUAGUUGCUACCAUUCAGUUGGGCACUCUAAAAGAACUGCCAGUGAUAAGCUGGAGGAAGGUGGGGAUGACGUCAAGUCCUCAUGGCCCUUAUGUGUUGGGCUACACACGUGCUACAAUGGUAUUUACAGUGGGAUGCUAAGAGGCAACUCCAAGCCAACCCUCAAAAAAUACCUCAGUUCGGAUUGUACUCUGCAACUCGAGUACAUGAAGCUGGAAUUACUAGUAAUCGCGAAUCAGCGUGUCGCGGUGAAUACG
rnacentral:rRNA from 1 species